rnacentral:lncRNA from 1 species
ACUCAAGCUUACUGAUAGAAAUCACGUUGCUCAAUAGCUGGUGACUCAGUAGAAAGUGCCCUUCAGUUUCAACAAGCAGGCUUUUAGCUCAUGACAUUUUCUAAGGAAAUCAAUCUGAAGAUUUUCUUCCCACACCUAUUAAGAAUACCAGAAGUUGUUUUGACGAAGUAAAGUUACACUGAACCUAGAGAUCAUCUACCCAAGGGAUUCUCUGAUCACCACCCUCUCACAGCUUGGAUUACAGGCAUGAGCUACAAGACCCUGCUUUUUAUACCAUACUGGGGACCAACACUUGAAUCUUUAUGCUUGCAUGGCAAGCACUUUUCAGACUGAGGCAUCCCCCCAUUCCACCCAUAUGCAUUCUUGAAAAAGGGAAUCAGACUUUUGCUCGAAGCUGGCCUUUUAAGUGGACAGAGUGAGAUUUCAGUUCAACAUCUCCCCACUCCUUCUCAGCAAGAUCUGAAAUUCCUGUCUCUAGGAACAGUGUUUUGUUUCACAAUGGAAAGGAAUGAGCUUGAAACACAGAGGCUGGCGUUCUGAAUCACAGAUGGUGAAUGGGCAGUGUUUAUCCGUGUUGGUGAGCAGCACCAUGUCCCUUGAGAUGAAUGGGAAGUUAAAGCACAAGAAAGCCCACAGUGCCUGAUAAGGUGCAGAGAGAUUCAACAGGAAGAGGAGGAAGGAAGAGCAGGGUGAUGAUGUCAAAGACCAAGCCUAACUCCACAGUUUGCUCAAAGGCAACUCAGUCCAGUUUGAAGUCACCUGGACACCUAGAGCCAGUGUGUGUUCAGAUGUGGGCCUAGGAAGACCAGCAAUGAAGAAGCAAGCUUGACAAGUGCACAUGACCAGGGCCCAGAACAGCCCCAUUAACUGCACUUCAAAUACUGGCUAAGCCAAAAGGAAUGGUCUUCAAACCUGCCUGCCUUAAAAGCUCCACUCAGUUCAGUUAUACACAGCAAAUGUCAUCCUCUCCUAAAACAGCCUGUGACAAUGAAAAGGUUCCAUCUUCAACACAGUGAUUUACUUUUCUGGGAGAGACCUUGAAAGCACAAAGGAAAGUUUAAUUCAGG